AUUGAACGCUGGCGGCAUGCCUAACACAUGCAAGUCGAACGAGUGGCGGACGGGUGAGGAAGGUCUGGGAAACUGCCUGAUGGAGGGGGAUAACUACUGGUAACGGUAGCUAAUACCGCAUACCAUCAGAUGUGCCCAGAUGGGAUUAGCUAGUUGGUGGGGUAACGGCUCACCAAGGCGACGAUCCCUAGCUGGUCUGAGAGGAUGACCAGCCACCCUGUAACUGAGACACGGUCCAGACUCCUACGGGAGGCAGCAGUGGGGAAGAUUGCACAAUGGGCGCAAGCCUGAUGCAGCCAUUCCGCGUGUAUGAAGAAGGCCUUCGGGUUGUAAAGUACUUUCGGCGGGGAGGCGUUACCUGCAGAAGAAGCACCGGUUAACGCCGGUCAAGCAGCCGCGGUAAUUC
rnacentral:rRNA from 1 species